AGCAGGAAAUUGUUUUGGCAUAAAACUGGGCCAAGCUAUAUACUAGUAGAUCUUGCUUUUGGUUUUUGAGGUGUAAGAUAGCAUACGUAGUGUGUAGAUGUGCUCUUAGCUAGCUCAGAUUAAUUCAUUUGCCUAAGACUAACGUAAAGUUGAGUGAAGAUUUUUUUCUUAUAUUAUCUAGUAUGAUAUUCUCUUGUAUUGGAUCUCAUUUCCCAAUUACUGUACUUACAGUUAGUCCAGAUUGUCUUACUUGGAGGGUUGAUGUUGUAAUCUAGUACACCUAGUUCUAAGAACAGCUUCUUCCUAUGGAAGCAAAUCGAAGCAAAAAUUUCCUUUGAAACUGAUGUAUCCAACACUUAUCUACUCUCUGUAAUUCUUUCAUACAGUUUAGUGGUGUUAUUUAAGAUUUGAGUCUUUACUAUGCUUUUUUUUUACAAUGUUGCUGUCGUUAUUUAUUGUCCCAUCAUAUCAAGUUCAUCAUUAUAGUUCUGUUAUCUUAACUUGAUGCUUUGACAUCUGACUUUAAACUUUGGAGGAAUAUCAGUGAACGAAUUGGUGACUUCGAUUUGUUUAAACUGUUGUUUUCAUUUCUCUGAGUAGAAGUGAUGUAUGUUGUGAAAUUCUGGUGAUACUUCUAAGACCAAUUCUUAACUUAGAGCAUUCAUUUUAUCUGUGUUAACCUUUCGUAGGGUAUCCUGAAAAUUCAAUUGCCUUUUGGUGGUGCAGUAUCUAUAUAAUGUUCUGUUUUUAGGCUGGACUGCUGCAAUACUAUUCCAGUGUUCAUAUACUUCAUGUGUUCUCCAUUGUUUAGAAACUAAAGGUGGGGGGAGUUGGGUACAUGACCCUUGCAAGGCUAUUUGUAUGAUAUAGGCCUCUAGCAUUCUUUUUGUUGUAGUAGUGUUCUGUGUUUUUGUUACUUUCUAUUGUCUCUUGUUCUUCCAUUAUAUUUUUUUCUAGACUGUUUUUGUCUAAAGGCGAGGGUCUACCAGAAACAACCUCUCUACCUCACCUCUGAGAUAGAAGUAAGGUUUGUGUAUACUCCAUCCUCUCCAGACCUUACUUUGUGGAACUACACUGGGUAUGUUGUGGUUGUUGUCGUUGCUAAUAUAUGUGAAGGUUCUUCUUUUACUAGAGACUGAUCCAUUUGGCAAUAGAUAUAAAAUAUUUGAAGUUGUUUAUGUAUUUUUUUCAAAUGUUUUGCUUGUUAACCAAAUGUUGUAGUAUGUUCUUCUAGAACUUGGAGCUUGUUUUUGGUCCUGUGACCUUGUAUUUGACAUUCCGCCAGACUUCUCACAGUUGGAAUUGAAAAUUUUUGUUAGUGUGCUUCACAAUAUUGUUUUGUCAACAUUAUUAGGAUAUUCUCUUUUAACAUCUACAAGAAUAAGGAACAACCCAAAUGACUUGAAGAUGUUACUAUACAUCAUGUGAAGAUGUUACUAUAUUCGACUUUAUCACUCACUGGAUUUUAUGGUUGUCAAAUUUUUUGUCUGUGAAAACUAUAGGUUUAGAUGAUGAGAUAUCUUAAAUAUUGACUUGUGUCGUGCUUCAAAUUAUUUGUCAAACUUGACUAUGGUAAAGGCGUAGACCUUAGUUUGUGUAUUUGAUAAACUGAUUUUUUUUUGCUUACUCGAUUCUUAGUUCACUUGUCAUCUGCAAAGUGUUACUGCAACAAAUAUGUCCUAUGUUUACAUUGACUUUUGUAGGUGGCACUUAGAUAACAUAAGUCGUUUCAGUUCUAACCUGUGUAAAAUUUGUGGCCGAUGAUAAACCAAAUAUGAGAGUAUGUAAAGUGAUGCAUGUUUUUCCAGAGUUGCUUAUUACUUUUCAAAUUGGAUAUAGCUUGGUCUUAUGACGAUUUUUCUAGUUCAAAAUUCAUGACGGGACAGCUUACACUCAAAGAAACUUGUUAAUAUCUCCUUUCCUUUUCAAGGGAGAGCAAGCUUCAAAUGUGGUCUUGCUCAUCUAUUUUAUCAAGAUUUGAAGUAUAAAGAAUCUAUCCUUUGUGAAAGUAAAGAGCAAGUUGAAGUUCAAGAGGUCUUUUAUUUUGUUGUAGAUGGUUUAAAAAAGAUAUCUUAUGUAUAUAUGCUGCAAUUAUUUUUCUUUUAGGAGUUUAAUAGAACUUGGGUCGUACAUCUUUCUUUAGUUCUUUGUAUUGACAUUGAAGUUUUAUUUAAAUAUUAAUUAUUUUAUAUA